UCAAGACCUGUAUGUGUGUAUUUGGAUAAAUAUUUUCAAUCUGAUGCAGCCAUGCUCUUCAAUACCUUGUUGGUAAUCGGCCUCUCCGUGUCAGGAGAAUACUACUGUGAGGCAGAGAAUGGGACUGAGACAGACAUCUCUCCUCCUAACGGUCCUGAUGUGCAGUAUCCUCCGAAGAGCGUCUCAGUAUCAGC